rnacentral:lncRNA from 1 species
GAAAAAUAGUUUUGAGAUAGAUUUUCAUGUGGUAGAGAAUGCGCCUACUUUUGGGAAACCACUUUGCCUGUGUGACUGUGAGUCAGCAGCAGUGUCUGCACUUGGAGGCUGCAGUUGUGACCUGGCACCAACAUCUCAUUUCUGAAGUGUCUGAUAGUUACUGAAAUCGUAGGCUUUUUUGUUUUUUUGGUACCAGGGAUUUAACUUAACCACUGAGCCAUAUCCCUAUCCCUUUUUUAUUUUGAGACAUGGCCUCACUAAGUUGCUUAGGGCCUCUAUAAGAUGCUGAGGCUCUUUGAAGUUGCAAUCCUCCUGCCUCAGGCUCCGGAGCCACUGGGAUUAUAGGCGUGUGCCAGUAGGCUUGGCGAAAUCUCACUUUUAAUACCAGUUCAUAGUGCUUUCAGUAACUGAAAUCCCUUGGGAUUGAUCCCUCUGAAUUCUUUUCUACUCUGAUAUUUGUUUUUGUUAUGUUAUGUGAUUUUUUUCCCCACUAAAAAGCUGCAAAUCUCCCCUGAAUAUGUUAUCUUUUCAGUGAAAACAAAUGUUACCGUUGUAUAGUCUGAUCAAAAAAAUGUUUUUCUCAUUAGUGUCUUUAUGCGUAGAUACAUAUACCGGUAAGUAUCUAUCUAUAUAUAUUUUUCUUCAGUACUGGAAAUUGAAUCCAGGGACUUAUCUUCCACGGAGCUAUAUCUCCAGCUAGUGUCUUUAUUUUCUAACUUGUCAUAUACAGAUAAUCUCCAAUUUAUGGUGAUUUGACAGUUUCCGAUUUUAGAAUGGGGCAAAAAUGAUAUACAUUAAGUAGAAACUGUACUUGGAAUUUGGAUUUUUUCCUGGGCUAGCAGUGUGUAGUGUGAUACUCUUUGCCAUACUGGGCAUCAGCAUGGAGCUGCAUAUCCUGGUCAGCCAUGUGAUCACAAGGGGAAACAAAACAAGCUAUACUCCAUAGUUGCUGUGUUGCCAGAGUUUUUUGGAUAUUGUAUUUUGUUUUCACAAUCUACCAUUUCUACAAAAAUGCCCAUCUGUGUGUAUUCAUGAGAUAUUCCACACUUUGUUAUAAAAUAAGCUUUGUCUUACAUGAGUUUGCCAAACUGUAGGCUAAUCUAAGUGUUCUGAGCAUGUUUAAGGUACUGAAGCUAAGUAAUGAUAUAUAUGGUAGGUUAGGUAUAUUAUGUGUGUUUUCAAUUUGUGAUAUUUUCACUUAAGUGCAUUUCUCAGGACAUAAUCCUAUGGUAAGUCAAAGUUCCUCUGUAGUUGCUUGGCUCAUUGUAGAUUGUCUAGGCAAUUUUGUGCUGUUUUUAAGGAAUUCUUGAGUAGGUCUCUUUUGAAUGUUUCCAUUAUCUGUUGGAAGUUAGUUAACCUCCUUAUCUAAUUCAGUGUAUUCUUGUCAUCUUUGUAUCACAUUUAUUAUGAGAGCUAAUUUGAUUGACAUUUUGUUUUCCCUUUGGUUUGUUAAAUGACCAUGUUAGAGAGCAAGUGGACUCCAAGCUCCACAAGGGCAAAGACCAUGUCUGCUUUAUUUACUGUAUACUGUGUGGGCCCUGGUGAUGCAUGCCUGUAAU